CAGCCGCCGCGGGAAUACAGAGGGUGCGAGUGUUAAUCGGAUUUACUGGGCGUAAAGCGUGCGUAGGCGGCUUCUUAAGUCGGAUGUGAAAUCCCUGAGCUUAACUUAGGAAUUGCAUUCGAUACUGGGAAGCUAGAGUAUGGGAGAGGAUGGUAGAAUUCCAGGUGUAGCGGUGAAAUGCGUAGAGAUCUGGAGGAAUACCGAUGGCGAAGGCAGCCAUCUGGCCUAAUACUGACGCUGAGGUACGAAAGCAUGGGGAGCAAACAGGAUUAGAUACCCGAGUAGUCCCUGUCUCUUAUAC
rnacentral:rRNA from 1 species